rnacentral:rRNA from 1 species
AAUCCAUAGGUUAAUGAGGCGAACCGGGGGAACUGAAACAUCUAAGUACCCCGAGGAAAAGAAAUCAACCGAGAUUCCCCCAGUAGCGGCGAGCGAACGGGGAGGAGCCCAGAGCCUGAAUCAGCAUGUGUGUUAGUGGAAGCGUCUGGAAAGGCGCGCGAUACAGGGUGACAGCCCCGUACACAAAAGCGCAUGUGCUGUGAGCUCGAUGAGUAGGGCGGGACACGUGGUAUCCUGUCUGAAUAUGGGGGGACCAUCCUCCAAGGCUAAAUACUCCUGACUGACCGAUAGUGAACCAGUACCGUGAGGGAAAGGCGAAAAGAACCCCGGCGAGGGGAGUGAAAAAGAACCUGAAACCGUGUACGUACAAGCAGUGGGAGCACAGGUUUACCUGUGUGACUGCGUACCUUUUGUAUAAUGGGUCAGCGACUUAUAUUCUGUAGCAAGGUUAACCGAAUAGGGGAGCCGGAGGGAAACCGAGUCUUAAUUGGGCGUUAAGUUGCAGGGUAUAGACC